CUGUGAUGUGAAAGAAUGUGUCAGAGCGAAAUCAAAACAAACAAAAAUACUUCGCAAAUCAGUUCAUUUUGGUUUCGCAAAUUAAUUUGCAAAUUGCAACACUUUUCAAAUCUAGCUUCUUUAAAUAAUAGCAAUUGUAAUAGUUCGGAGCGGUAAGUGUUUCUUUCGUUCCUGCGUUAGUACCAGUCACGGUCAAAACACCUUUGGAAAGAACUGACGAGCAACCAUCCCAUGCUGGUGGAUAGAUUCAAAGUCAACGGAAACGGUGAUGUGGCAGUUUAGGGUUGAGUGACAGAGCAGGCAAAAUUCAACCAACAAAGUGCAUUCCGCGGGACCCUGUAUAGGUACACCAAGGAAGGCGAUACCAAGUCCGCCAUGGGCAGAAUUAUUAAAUAUAGGAAUGUCAACGGAAGGAUGUCGUCAAAUAAUGUGGAUUGCAAUUAUAAGAAGAAACGAGAUCAGAUAAAGAGAUGGCUAGCUACAGUAAGACUCUGGGACUAAUGCGUUUCUUGUAGUGUUGUUGGCAACGCUACUGCGAUCGGUCCGUGCUGCAGUGAGGUGAAAAUUGCAAUGAUAAUAACGAUUCGUUUGGCAUUUAGAUAGCACUUCUUUGGAAGAACAACGACAAACGUAGCAACACGCCAGCAAUCGCUUGCGAUGCUUUCGGAGGAGAAUUUUAAGCACCAUAUUUGUAGGAGUGACUGCAGUAUCUGACCAAAAUGUUUAAUGAC